CCUACGGGUGGCAGCAGUGAGGAAUAUUGGUCAAUGGACGAGAGUCUGAACCAGCCAAGUAGCGUGAAGGAUGACUGCCCUAUGGGUUGUAAACUUCUUUUAUAUGGGAAUAAAACGUUCCACGUGUGGGAUUUUGUAUGUACCAUAUGAAUAAGGUUCGGCUAACUCCGUGCCAGCAGCCGCGGUAAUACGGAGGAUCCGAGCGUUAUCCGGAUUUAUUGGGUUUAAAGGGAGCGUAGGUGGAUUGUUAAGUCAGUUGUGAAAGUUUGCGGCUCAACCGUAAAAUUGCAGUUGAAACUGGCAGUCUUGAGUACAGUAGAGGUGGGCGGAAUUCGUGGUGUAGCGGUGAAAUGCUUAGAUAUCACGAAGAACUCCGAUUGCGAAGGCAGUUCACUGGACUGCAACUGACACUGAGGCUCGAAAGUGUGGGUAUCAAACAGGAUUAGAUACCCCAGUAGUC
rnacentral:rRNA from 1 species